rnacentral:tRNA from 1 species
AAAAAUUAGUUAAAUAAUAAUAUUAGUAUGUCAAACUAAAGUUAUCAGAUUAUGAUUUUUUU